rnacentral:rRNA from 1 species
AUAAGUGCAUCAGGCGGAUGCCUUGGCGAUGAUAGGCGACGAAGGACGUGUAAGCCUGCGAAAAGCGCGGGGGAGCUGGCAAUAAAGCUAUGAUUCCGCGAUGUCCGAAUGGGGAAACCCACUGCAUUCUGUGCAGUAUCCUAAGUUGAAUACAUAGGCUUAGAGAAGCGAACCCGGAGAACUGAACCAUCUAAGUACCCGGAGGAAAAGAAAUCAACCGAGAUUCCGCAAGUAGUGGCGAGCGAACGCGGAGGAGCCUGUACGUAAUAACUGUCGAGAUAGAAGAACAAGCUGGGAAGCUUGACCAUAGCGGGUGACAGUCCCGUAUUCGAAAUCUCAACAGCGGUACUAAGCGUACGAAAAGUAGGGCGGGACACGUGAAAUCCUGUCUGAAUAUGGGGGGACCAUCCUCCAAGGCUAAAUACUCAUCAUCGACCGAUAGUGAACCAGUACCGUGAGGGAAAGGCGAAAAGAACCCCGGGAGGGGAGUGAAACAGAACCUGAAACCUGAUGCAUACAAACAGUGGGAGCGCCCUAGUGGUGUGACUGCGUACCUUUUGUAUAAUGGGUCAACGACUUACAUUCAGUAGCGAGCUUAACCGGAUAGGGGAGGCGUAGGGAAACCGAGUCUUAAUAGGGCGAUGAGUUGCUGGGUGUAGACCCGAAACCGAGUGAUCUAUCCAUGGUCAGGUUGAAGGUGCCGUAACAGGUACUGGAGGACCGAACCCACGCAUGUUGCAAAAUGCGGGGAUGAGCUGUGGGUAGGGGUGAAAGGCUAAACAAACUCGGAGAUAGCUGGUUCUCCCCGAAAACUAUUUAGGUAGUGCCUCGAGCAAGACACUGAUGGGGGUAAAGCACUGUUAUGGCUAGGGGGUUAUUGCAACUUACCAACCCAUGGCAAACUCAGAAUACCAUCAAGUGGUUCCUCGGGAGACAGACAGCGGGUGCUAACGUCCGUUGUCAAGAGGGAAACAACCCAGACCGUCGGCUAAGGUCCCAAAUGAUAGAUUAAGUGGUAAACGAAGUGGGAAGGCACAGACAGCCAGGAUGUUGGCUUAGAAGCAGCCAUCAUUUAAAGAAAGCGUAAUAGCUCACUGGUCGAGUCGUCCUGCGCGGAAGAUGUAACGGGGCUCAAAUCUAUAACCGAAGCUGCGGAUGCCGGUUUACCGGCAUGGUAGGGGAGCGUUCUGUAGGCUGAUGAAGGUGCAUUGUAAAGUGUGCUGGAGGUAUCAGAAGUGCGAAUGUUGACAUGAGUAGCGAUAAAGCGGGUGAAAAGCCCGCUCGCCGAAAGCCCAAGGUUUCCUACGCAACGUUCAUCGGCGUAGGGUAAGUCGGCCCCUAAGGCGAGGCAGAAAUGCGUAGUCGAUGGGAAACAGGUUAAUAUUCCUGUACUUGAUUCAAAUGCGAUGUGGGGACGGAGAAGGUUAGGUUGGCAAGCUGUUGGAAUAGCUUGUUUAAGCCGGUAGGUGGAAGACUUAGGCAAAUCCGGGUUUUCUUAACACCGAGAAGUGAUGACGAGUGUCUACGGACACGAAGCAACCGAUACCACGCUUCCAGGAAAAGCCACUAAGCUUCAGUUUGAAUCGAACCGUACCGCAAACCGACACAGGUGGGCAGGAUGAGAAUUCUAAGGCGCUUGAGAGAACUCGGGAGAAGGAACUCGGCAAAUUGAUACCGUAACUUCGGGAGAAGGUAUGCCCUCUAAGGUUAAGGACUUGCUCCGUAAGCCCCGGAGGGUCGCAGAGAAUAGGUGGCUGCGACUGUUUAUUAAAAACACAGCACUCUGCCAACACGAAAGUGGACGUAUAGGGUGUGACGCCUGCCCGGUGCCGGAAGGUUAAUUGAAGAUGUGCAAGCAUCGGAUCGAAGCCCCGGUAAACGGCGGCCGUAACUAUAACGGUCCUAAGGUAGCGAAAUUCCUUGUCGGGUAAGUUCCGACCCGCACGAAUGGCGUAACGAUGGCCACACUGUCUCCUCCCGAGACUCAGCGAAGUUGAAGUGGUUGUGAAGAUGCAAUCUACCCGCUGCUAGACGGAAAGACCCCGUGAACCUUUACUGUAGCUUUGCAUUGGACUUUGAAGUCACUUGUGUAGGAUAGGUGGGAGGCUUGGAAGCAGAGACGCCAGUCUCUGUGGAGUCGUCCUUGAAAUACCACCCUGGUGUCUUUGAGGUUCUAACCCAGACCCGUCAUCCGGGUCGGGGACCGUGCAUGGUAGGCAGUUUGACUGGGGCGGUCUCCUCCCAAAGCGUAACGGAGGAGUUCGAAGGUUACCUAGGUCCGGUCGGAAAUCGGACUGAUAGUGCAAUGGCAAAAGGUAGCUUAACUGCGAGACCGACAAGUCGGGCAGGUGCGAAAGCAGGACAUAGUGAUCCGGUGGUUCUGUAUGGAAGGGCCAUCGCUCAACGGAUAAAAGGUACUCCGGGGAUAACAGGCUGAUUCCGCCCAAGAGUUCAUAUCGACGGCGGAGUUUGGCACCUCGAUGUCGGCUCAUCACAUCCUGGGGCUGUAGUCGGUCCCAAGGGUAUGGCUGUUCGCCAUUUAAAGUGGUACGUGAGCUGGGUUUAAAACGUCGUGAGACAGUUUGGUCCCUAUCUGCAGUGGGCGUUGGAAGUUUGACGGGGGCUGCUCCUAGUACGAGAGGACCGGAGUGGACGAACCUCUGGUGUACCGGUUGUAACGCCAGUUGCAUAGCCGGGUAGCUAAGUUCGGAAGAGAUAAGCGCUGAAAGCAUCUAAGCGCGAAACUCGCCUGAAGAUGAGACUUCCCUUGCGGUUUAACCGCACUAAAGGGUCGUUCGAGACCAGGACGUUGAUAGGUGGGGUGUGGAAGCGCGGUAACGCGUGAAGCUAACCCAUACUAAUUGCCCGUGAGGCUUGACU